AGUGAACGCUGGCGGUAGGCCUAACACAUGCAAGUCGAACGGCAGCACAGUAAGAGCUUGCUCUUACGGGUGGCGAGUGGCGGACGGGUGAGGAAUACAUCGGAAUCUACUUUUUCGUGGGGGAUAACGUAGGGAAACUUACGCUAAUACCGCAUACGACCUACGGGUGAAAGCAGGGGAUCUUCGGACCUUGCGCGAUUGGAUGAGCCGAUGUCGGAUUAGCUAGUUGGCGGGGUAAAGGCCCACCAAGGCGACGAUCCGUAGCUGGUCUGAGAGGAUGAUCAGCCGCACUGGAACUGAGACACGGUCCAGACUCCUACGGGAGGCAGCAGUGGGGAAUAUUGGACAAUGGGCGCAAGCCUGAUCCAGCCAUACCGCGUGGGUGAAGAAGGCCUUCGGGUUGUAAAGCCCUUUUGUUGGGAAAGAAAAGCAGCAGGUUAAUACCCCGCUGUUCUGACGGUACCCAAAGAAUAAGCACCGGCUAACUUCGUG
rnacentral:rRNA from 1 species